ACAGCUACGGGUGCCCAUAUAGAAGCCUCCCUCCUGGCGCCUGCCCUCCGCCUAGGACUUGCCCUCCCCUUCCUACAGUCUCACCCCAACCUUCCCCAAGGGGCUCCUUACCUGAUGCUCCUCGAGCUCCUGCACUAGCACCUGAGCAAAAGGGAAACACGGAUAUGAAGAGCAGCUCAAAUCACCAACCCAUUCCUCCUUUUCCACUUAGAACCCAGCCACUGACGGAACCAUUCCCCACGACUCCCGGAUCAUCUUCUCCCUCUCACCUGAGCGGAUUUGUUGCAGGGUCCGGACUGCAAGAACCUAGCGAUCAGCUCUUCCAGAGGACUGAGGGUUGCCUAGCUACGGCUCUAGAAAGGAGAAGGAGGUGCUAACUGACAACCGACGCUCUGGCAACCGCCGUAGAACUCUGUGGUGGCGUUGGCGUCCGCGAGCUCUGGACUCGCUUGCCAUUCCUGUGAGGGCAGUUGGGCCCUUUCCGGCAGAGAAUUCUUCCUGCUUGGGUGGUGAAGAACUUGUGGGGGGCUGCCUAGACUCAGUUGCCUUCAUGGGGCACCUAAGCGGUUUUGUUUUUUUCCCUCCCCCACCAACAGGAGGCUAGCCCAUAAUGGGCAUUAUGAUUAAGAGAAGAAAACAUGAUUUUUGUACCAAUUGAAAAUGCUGUACUUACGGGUCCCGAGUGUGGUGCUAAAAUUGUUACAAGACUACUUAAAAUGUCCCCCGAUUCUGAAAAAGAUUGCUUGAGAAAUUUUCUGUCAGCCAUGAAGCAUUUACUCCUUCUGAAAGUUUAACAUAAGCUAUAUCUGUCCCAUUCCUAUUGGAUAGUUUUUAUCGUGUUUUCAAACAUCCGACUACUUAAGGAUUUUUUUUUUUUUUAAGUAUGGCCUGGUUAUGGAAAUCUGUAUAUGCAAGGUAGUUUUCCACAGAUUUGGGACUGCAUUUGUUACUUAAUAUGUAACCCCCACUCUUAGUACACACUGUCUUUUGAUCAAAGUGUUUGUGUAAUAAUUGACACAGACAGUAAACUAGGUCUCUCUGUUCCUAUUUCACUUACAUCCUGUUCUCACCCCACCUUUAACUAAUAUAAUUAAUAAAAGCUGAACCCGAUGAGGCUAGAAAUGUUGUUGGAGUUGUGAUAUUAUGUUGAAAUAUCCAAAUUUGAAAUUUCACCUAAAUUUAGGGUGUUAUUAGGAAUUUGAUUUCCUCACUUAUAAUUCAGGCAUUGACCACAGCGGGUCUAGAAUUCCAUUAAAUUGACAUGAACUUUAUCCAAAUUGACUAGCUUGCUCCUGUAAGUGCCCUAUCUCUCCUUCCCUCCCUCUCCCCCUCCCUCUCCCCAGCUCCCUCCCUCUACCCCCC